GCAAGUCGAGGGGUAACAGGGAGUGCUUGCACUCUGCUUACGACCUCCUCUCGUGUUCGUAACGCGUAUGCAACCUACCUUCCACAGGGGGAUAGUCAAUAGAAAUGUUGAAUAAUACCCCAUACGAUCUAAAGAUCACCUGAUCAAUAGAGGAAAACUCCGGUGGUGGAAGAUGGGCAUGCGUCCUAUUAGUUAGUUGGUGAGGUAACGGCUCACCAAGACUACGAUAGGUAGGGGUCCUGAGAGGGAGACC
rnacentral:rRNA from 1 species